AUAUGUCGGAACGGAGUCUAUUUCCUUCGACAUCAAUGUAAUCUAAUAAUCAUUAACCAAAAAAAAUCAUGAUUAUUAGAUUACAUUGAUGUCGAAGGAACUAGACUCAGUUCCGAAAUAU